CGUGAUGUCUGAGUUAUUAAUACUUAGGCCAUGAUCCUGUCACUUAGGUCGAUCGGUACCUCAAGUUGAGAAUCAAAGAAAAGCUGAUUAAUCAGCUUGGAGAUUGAUGAUUGAUUUUAGUUCCUAAACUUGUCUAGGUCACACCCCGCAAGGGUUACUCCUGGGCCAUUAGCUCAGGUGGUUAGAGCGCACCCCUGAUAAGGGUGAGGUCCCUGGUUCAAGUCCAGGAUGGCCCAUUCGGUGUUGGGGGUUUAGCUCAGUUGGUAGAGCGCCUGCUUUGCAAGCAGGAUGUCAGCGGUUCGAGUCCGCUAACCUCCACUGACGAAUCUUCUGACAACGAGCCAAUGGUGAGAAUCGUUGUGUGAUGUGAUUUAGAAUUUAAGUUUGCUGGCAGACCCUAGCUUCUUAUCAUUCCAGGUCUCAAUUAAUUGAGAUUAGGUUGAUAGGACGCUGGGCUCACUGUAAUUCGCAAGAAUUGCAGAGAUGUUCAGCAGAACCUUGACAACUGCAUAGGUAAGUCUGGAAAGAAUAAAGCAUCUCAUGGAUGCAUGAUUCUUGGGAAUCAGCUGAUGCAAUCUGCGCGAGUAGAGAGCUGAGGUUGAUGAACGAGAAUGAUGUUUGAUUCUUGAGUCAAGAGCCGAGACUCUAUAGCG
rnacentral:tRNA from 1 species